rnacentral:rRNA from 1 species
AGGAUAAACGCUGGCGGCGUGCCUAACACAUGCAAGUCGAACGCGCUUUCGGGCUUCGGUGCGAGAGCGAGUGGCGGACGGGUGAGUAACACAUGGGUACCUGCCUUUCAGUGAGGGAUACCGGCGAGAAAUCGCCGACAAUACCGCAUGGGCUUGUGGGAACACAAGCAAAGUGGCGCAAGCCACGCUGGAAGAUGGGCCUGUGGCCGAUUAGCUAGUUGGGGGGGUAAUGGCCUCCCAAGGCGACGAUCGGUAGCUGGUCUGAGAGGACGAUCAGCCACACUGGGAUUGAGAACGGCCCAGACUCCUACGGGGGGCAGCAGUGAGGAAUUUUCCGCAAUGGACGAAAGUCUGACGGAGCAACGCCGCGUGCAGGAGGAAGGUUUUCGGAUCGUAAACUGCUUUUUCUCGGGGACGAGCAAGGACGGUACCCGAGGAAGAACGCCCCGGGACUAACGUACGCGCCAGCAGCCGC